CACUGCGUAGUGUAGUGGUUAGCACGUUCGACUGACAAUCGAGUGGGCCCGGGUUCGAAUCCCGCAAGGCGGCGA